UUACAUUGUUCGUUUGUCUAUAGCUGGAUUCAGCGACCAAUUAUAGCGACAAUCCCUAAUAACUGUCGCUGUGUUGUUCGUUUGACUGUCGCUAUAAACAGUCGCUAUAUUGUUUAGAAAAAUUAAUU
rnacentral:sRNA from 1 species